CACUUCUCCAAAGGGACUGUUCUGUUCCGACUGGGAUUUUAAACUCGUUUGGCUGAAUGGGUGAUGCUGCUGAGUUCCAGUCUGUCAGUGGCUCGCUUUAUCACAAGGUGUUCUGCUUAUUGUUGACCUGGAGCUGUGAUGUCCAAAGCCUCCCUCGUUGACUAACAAGAGACAUUUUUUGGAAUCGAGUUGAAGGCCUGAGGAGCGGGGGGAAGAUGAGACCUCCUAGCCCUCUGCUGAUCCUCUUCUACAUCACGCUGAGCAAGAGUGCCAAGGUGGUCAAGGUGGUCUCCAAGAGGGGCUCAGGUUUGGGUAAAUACAUGGGAGUUUCAUCUCUCAACCUUGAGGAGCUAUGGAUAACGGAUCAGCUAUGAGGACUUGAUUAGCCCUCAAGAGGCACUGGAUAAAGCUGCACUUCAAUUGAUUUUCUCCCCCCCCAAGUGUCCAUGCCGGAUUCUUAGAGUUGCAGCUCUCUGAAAUCCUAUAAUUAUUCAAUGUGGAGUCGGCCUGAGCCUGUGUUACCUGAAUUAAUGAGUUUCCCAAAGGUGUAGAUAGGAG
ensembl:lncRNA